UGGUGUACGCCCAUAAUCCGGGCGGAUUCGAUUUCAAAAGUUCCGGAGCCGUGAACGCCGAGAACACGUGCGGCGACUCCGUGUUCACCGUCAGAGAGACGCUGAUUGUGAACAUCAUCAGUACGGCACCGUUGAUUACUAAUCCUUGGGGUUCCAGUGACGUCGCCGAGGACGUCAGCGGAACGUUGACGUUAAAGACGUUGGAUUUUGUUACUUUCGAUAAGUCUGAUGCCACCUGCUCAAUGACGAGCGCUGACGGAGGACCAUUCGCCGUCACUGGAAGCCUCUUUAUUAAAAAUCCAGUUCAGGUGGACAGUGUCGUCCCUGAUAAGCCUGUGGGAACUGCAUAGGCUGAUCUGAGAUGACGCUUUAGCACGUGCAUUAUGUCCAGUUUUCGCAGAAUGAGACGUAUAUAAGCUCACGCACAGACGUCUUUCAGGCAACCAAAUCGUAAAGACGGCUGGAGCUCUGGACUUUGAGACAAAGGCAACGUAUAAUCUUGACGUCACGUGCACUGACGACCUUCUUCAAACCACGGAUACUUACGUCGUCAAAGUCCAAAACGUCGGUCCAAAGAUAACGAGUUUGCCGACGGCGUCUACUCUGGACGAGUGGCAGACUGCGGAAAAGCUACUCACGACGUUGACGUUAGCGAAGGACGCGGCUGACUGCGUUUAAACGUCACCGACGUAUAACGAGUUUAACGUCAAAUACGAGCCCGCCACAAAAGUUUUAAAACAUAUGGGUUAUCUACUACGUCAGCGAGGCGGUUGCGGGGCGGUCGCUUAGCUACGACACGAACCCCUUUUACAACCUGCACAUUGAGUACAGCGACGCCGCGGGGGUCAAAGGGGCGGAGAAGAUUUUCACCGUCCAUAUUAACGAUAACAAAGCACCGACGAGCGACAACCUUAGCAGUAAGCCGAACAACAUAUGCUUGAUUAAGGACGCCUUGCGAGAAUUCUUCAGCGUUAUUUAGAUACUUUAAAAAUAAAUUCUAGUAUUACUUAUAUAGUAUUGUAUCAACUUUGAUCCAUCUUUGUAUUGCGCAUUAUGUCUUUUUGUUUGCCAAACGACGUUACUUUACUGUAUUACGUUGACGUAACUUCUUGUGUUUAUGCUUCGAAUCAUACUACUGAUGACAGCUAUGGCCGAAACAUGAUUUAUGUUUAAGAUAUCCAAAAAAAAAAACGUGUUU